UGCUUGCAUCAGAUGACGAGUGGCGCACGGGUGAGUAACGCGUAUACAAUCUACCUUUUACAGGGGGAUAGCCUUUAGAAAUGAAGAUUAAUAUCCCAUAGUAUGUUAACUUGGCAUCAAGAUAACAUUAAAGUUUCGGCGGUAAAAGAUGAGUAUGCGUUCUAUUAGUUAGUUGGUAAGGUAACGGCUUACCAAGACCGCGAUAGAUAGGGGCCCUGAGAGGGGGAUCCCCCACACUGGUACUGAGACACGGACCAGACUCCUACGGGAGGCAGCAGUGAGGAAUAUUGGACAAUGGGCGCGAGCCUGAUCCAGCCAUGCCGCGUGCAGGAAGACUGCCCUAUGGGUUGUAAACUGCUUUUAUACAGGAAGAAACCUUUUCACGUGUGAAAAGCUGACGGUACUGUAAGAAUAAGGAUCGGCUAACUCCGUGCCAGCAGCCGCGGUAAUACGGAGGAUCCAAGCGUUAUCCGGAAUCAUUGGGUUUAAAGGGUCCGUAGGUGGAUAAUUAAGUCAGGGGUGAAAGUUUGCAGCUCAACUGUAAAAUUGCCUUUGAUACUGGUUAUCUUGAAUUAUUGUGAAGUGGUUAGAAUAUGUAGUGUAGCGGUGAAAUGCAUAGAUAUUACAUAGAAUACCAAUUGCGAAGGCAGAUCACUAACAAUAUAUUGACACUGAUGGACGAAAGCGUGGGGAGCGAACAGGAUUAGAUACCCUGGUAGUCCACGCCGUAAACGAUGGAUACUAGCUGUUCGGUUUUCGGACUGAGUGGCUAAGCGAAAGUGAUAAGUAUCCCACCUGGGGAGUACGUUCGCAA
rnacentral:rRNA from 1 species